GACGAACGCUGGCGGCGUGCUUAACACAUGCAAGUCGAACGGAAAGGCCCUGCUUUUGUGGGGUGCUCGAGUGGCGAACGGGUGAGUAACACGUGAGUAACCUGCCCUUGACUUUGGGAUAACUUCAGGAAACUGGGGCUAAUACCGGAUAGGAGCUCCUGCUGCAUGGUGGGGGUUGGAAAGUUUCGGCGGUUGGGGAUGGACUCGCGGCUUAUCAGCUUGUUGGUGGGGUAGUGGCUUACCAAGGCUUUGACGGGUAGCCGGCCUGAGCGGGUGACCGGCGACAUUGGGACUGAGAUACGGCCCAGACUCCUACGGGAGGCAGCAGUGGGGAAUAUUGCACAAUGGGCGGAAGCCUGAUGCAGCAACGCCGCGUGCGGGAUGACGGCCUUCGGGUUGUAAACCGCUUUCGCCUGUGACGAAGCGUGAGUGACGGUAAUGGGUAAAGAAGCACCGGCUAACUACGUG
rnacentral:rRNA from 1 species